rnacentral:misc_RNA from 1 species
UGCACCAACCAUCAGCAAAUACAAUGAUGUUGAACCAAAAAUAGGAUUGUGAAGAAAGCAAGAUAGUAGCAGUGCCUUCUGCCAACUGGUGGCAAUGCUUAAAAUAAUUGCAUGCUCACAUAACAGUGACUUUAUAGUGAAAGCUCAUUCAUCCAUAAGAGUUGAGAUGUCCAAGAAAGCCUAUCAAAGACGCUCUAAACUGAUUUACUCAAAACUAAAUAUACAAUGGACAACCAUAAGAUUUGCUAAUAGUUAAUGCCAUCCCAGAGUAAAUAACACAGGAAAUUCAAAUGCUAGUGAUAGAAAGUAAUUCAUGUCAGAUGUGCUGCUCGCUAGCAUUUAUAUGCUGCUAACAGAGAGACAUCAAGCAGUUGAUCUUCAAUCUAUAAAUGUUACUGAAACCACAACAUUAUUGACAAACGUAUAAAAUAUGAA